UCUAGGGGCUGCAAUUGAAAGGUAAACAAACUCAGGAACUGGGUAGCUGAUGGGCUGGCAUAGAGGAAGACAAGUUGGCGCCAAAAUUCAAGGAAGAUGAAGGAGGAUAUGUAGGCAAAAGGUUCUAUUCAAAGCCAGAUAACGAAAAACAUCUUUGGAUUUCUAACUACACAACAGGGCACCCCCUCCUCCAAUUUUUCUCAACAACCAUCUCGUAAGGUCAGUUGGGCUGUCUUGAAUCUGAGAUUAAGCACUUCACUCCUCCAACAUUUCCAAUGAAAUUGGCAGUUACCUAUCAAUGUUCAGAAGGAAAGAAAAAUACCACAAGGCCUGUAAUGGAUUCGACUAGAGGAGCAAAGAGUGACUGGGGCUGAGGGCUGAGAGAGUAAAACAGGACUUGCCUAAAAUUUCUCCCUCUCUGAGAUCAGUUUCACAACAAGGAAUGAUUUCUUCUGGAUUAGUGGCCAAAGCCAUGAUUCAGUUCUACAGAGGAAUUAUUGAGUCUGUCAUUUGCACCUCUAUAACUGUCUGGUUCGGUUCUGCAACCCAACAAGAAAGACACAGACUUCAGAGGAUAAUUAGAACUGCAGAAAAAAUAAUUGCUACCAACCUGCCUUCCAUUGAGGACCUGUAUACUGCAUGAAUCAAGAAGAGGGCCGUGAAAAUAUUUACAGAUCCCUCACAUCCUGGACAUAAACUGUUUCAGCUCCUACCCUCAAAACGACGCUAUAGAGCACUGCACACCAGAACAAUUAGACACAAGAACAGUUUUUUCCCGAAGGCCAUUACUCUGCUAAACAAUGAACUACCCGUGGGGCUA